rnacentral:rRNA from 1 species
UACGUAGGGGGCAAGCGUUGUCCGGAUUUAUUGGGCGUAAAGAGCGUGUAGGCGGCCAUACAGGUCAGCUGUGAAAACUCGAGGCUCAACCUCGAGACGUCGGUUGAAACCGUAUGGCUAGAGUCCGGAAGAGGAGAGUGGAAUUCCCGGUGUAGCGGUGAAAUGCGCAGAUAUCGGGAAGAACACCCGUGGCGAAGGCGGCUUUCUGGUCUGUAACUGACGCUGAGGCGCGAAAGCGUGGGGAGCAAACAGG